UGGUCUUCUUAGAAAUCCCACAAUAGAGCUAUUGAGGAAAGAAAAACAAACUUAUUACACAUCAGAUGUUGCAUGUACAUCAAAAGGAGCUGAGAGAUACUGGAAAUAAACAUAUCUGUGGUCAGGUCUAGAUUGCGAGCAGGUUAUUCCUUUAGUGAAGAUGCUGACGGUGAUUGUCAGUGACUACCUAGAGGAAAGACUCCAACUGUUGCCAUUUUGGAAGCAGCAGGUUCCCAAAAGAUAUGAAUACGUCACAGCUUCAAAGCAGCAAAGGCUGAGUGCCAGUCUCCUUCAGCUAAUACAAAAUGAAUGUUCCAGGGCAACACACUCAGCACUGUCUCCUUCGUUCACCACUACUCCAA